rnacentral:sRNA from 1 species
UAUAAACAUUGAUUCAAAUACAUCCACCAUAUAACCCAAUUCCAAAAUAAAAUCCGUUCUGUAAUUUCUUUACCUGUCCCGUAAAUUUUUUUUAAAGUAGUAAUUUUUAAAUUUAAGAAUUAUUUUAUAUAUAUAUAUAU